GGAGUGAAGUUUGCUAGUCCAAAGCUGGAAUCUUCACAGAAGAUGGGAGUUUUUUGAAGUGCUAAAAAAGAGAUAUGAGUGACAUUGAGGUCAGAGGCUCCCUUAGGAUCCCUUUCAUCAUGGAGAAGCUGUUGGUGGCCACAGGAAGGGCUGUUGGAGGUAGGAGCAGGCUGAGAUAACAUGGACGAACCAAGAUCAACCCUCCUACUUUUGCUGAUGUUCAUGUAUGGAUGUUGGAACCAGAGCCAAGAAGUUUGCGGAUGUUGCUUACUG